rnacentral:lncRNA from 1 species
GUAAUAAUUAUGAGUGCAGUUCAAAAGAAGGCGCGCAUUGCAAAUGAUUCUUGGAAAAAUAACUUCUUACAUUUACUAGAGAAAUAACUCCUUUGUUUUAAACCGGUUUUAAAGCAAUCAGUUAGUGGAGUGGCUUUCCAAAUCCGUUUUAAUUGUUGUAUUUUCUUCCACAGUACUGUGAUGUAUGUACGUGUAUGCAUGGAGUGUGC